AAAAGAACUCUGAAUAGAGAGUUAAAUAGUACGUGAAACUGCUUAGAGGUUAAACCCGAUGAACCUGAAUAUCCAAUGUUAAGAAUUCAUCAUUAAAAUAAUAAUUAUUAUUGUUAUUAUGGUGUGCAUUUUCUUAACAUAAAAUGGACAUUGUAAUCUAUUAAUAUUGAAUUAAUUUAUCAUAAGAUCAAUAGUAUAUGUUUAUUUUAAAUAAUUUACCAUAUGGUUUAUUAAUAUUAAAUAAUUUCUAUUGAUUUGAUAAAGUAUUAAUAGAUUUAAUCAUAUGUAUAAUGCAUAAAUAUCAUUUAUGAGAUUUUAUAAUAUAUUAUAUAUAUUAUUAGCAUUUAUACGAUUUACAAUGCGAAAGAUUCAGGAUACCUUCGGGAC
rnacentral:rRNA from 1 species